UGUAAACAUCCUACACUCUCAGCUGUGGAAACUAAGACAGCUGGGAGAAGGCUGUUUACU
rnacentral:pre_miRNA from 1 species